UUUUCAACUUUUUGAUAGCUCAACUCUUCGCGGAGUUAUGCGCCUUUAAAGA
rnacentral:sRNA from 1 species